rnacentral:rRNA from 1 species
UACAGAGGGUGCGAGCGUUAAUCGGAGUUACUGGGCGUAAAGGGUGCGUAGGCGGUUAAGUGAGUGUGAUGUGAAAGCCCCGGGCUUAACCUGGGAAGUGCAUCGCAAACGACUUAACUGGAGUAGAUGAGAGGGUGAUGGAAUUUCCGGUGUAGCGGUGAAAUGCGUAGAGAUCGGAAGGAACGUCGAUGGCGAAGGCAGUCACCUGGCAUCAUACUGACGCUGAGGCACGAAAGCGUGGGGAGCGAACAGG